UAUGCAAGUCGAACGGCAGCACGGACUUCGGUCUGGUGGCGAGUGGCGAACGGGUGAGUAAUGUAUCGGAACGUACCAUUCAGUGGGGGAUAACGUAGCGAAAGUUACGCUAAUACCGCAUAUUCUCUCCGGAGGAAAGCAGGGGACCGCAAGGCCUUGCGCUGAUUGAGCGGCCGAUAUCAGAUUAGCUAGUUGGUGGGGUAACGGCUCACCAAGGCGACGAUCUGUAGCGGGUCUGAGAGGAUGAUCCGCCACACUGGAACUGAGACACGGUCCAGACUCCUACGGGAGGCAGCAGUGGGGAAUUUUGGACAAUGGGCGCAAGCCUGAUCCAGCCAUGCCGCGUGAGUGAAGAAGGCCUUCGGGUUGUAAAGCUCUUUCGGCCGGGAAAAAAUCGCACGGGCUAAUACCCUGUGUGGAUGAUGGUACCGGAAUAAGAAGCACCGGCUAACUACGUGCCAGCAGCCGCGGUAAUACGUAGGGUGCGAGCGUUAAUCGGAAUUACUGGGCGUAAAGCGUGCGCAGGCGGUUUUGUAAGACAGGCGUGAAAUCCCCGGGCUCAACCUGGGAACUGCGCUUGUGACUGCAAGGCUAGAGUAUGGCAGAGGGGGGUGGAAUUCCACGUGUAGCAGUGAAAUGCGUAGAGAUGUGGAGGAACACCGAUGGCGAAGGCAGCCCCCUGGGCCAAUACUGACGCUCAUGCACGAAAGCGUGGGUAGCAAACAGGAUUAGAUACCCUGGUAGUCCACGCCCUAAACGAUGUCAACUAGUGUUGGGUGGGUAAAACCAUUUAGUACCGGAGCUAACGCGUGAAGUUGACCGCCUGGGGAGUACGGCCGCAAGUUAAACUCAAAGGAAUUGACGGGACCGCACAGCGUGAUGAUGUGAUAAUCGAUGCACGCGAAAACCUUACCUACCC
rnacentral:rRNA from 1 species